GAUGAACGCUGGCGGCGUGCCUAAUACAUGCAAGUCGAGCGAACAGAUGAGGAGCUUGCUCCUCUGACGUUAGCGGCGGACGGGUGAGUAACACGUGGAUAACCUACCUAUAAGACUGGGAUAACUUCGGGAAACCGGAGCUAAUACCGGAUAAUAUAUUGAACCGCAUGGUUCAAUAGUGAAAGACGGUUUUGCUGUCACUUCUAGAUGGAUCCGCGCCGCAUUAGCUAGUUGGUAAGGUAACGGCUUACCAAGGCAACGAUGCGUAGCCGACCUGAGAGGGUGAUCGGCCACACUGGAACUGAGACACGGUCCAGACUCCUACGGGAGGCAGCAAUAGGGAAUCUUCCGCAAUGGGCGAAAGCCUGACGGAGCAACGCCGCGUGAGUGAUGAAGGUCUUCGGAUCGUAAAACUCUGUUAUUAGGGAAGAACAAAUGUGUAAGUAACUAUGCACGUCUUGACGGUACCUAAUCAGAAAGCCACGGCUAACUACGUG
rnacentral:rRNA from 1 species